GCUAAGGAACAGUGCCUAGGCCCUGAGUUCAGGCCCCAUUACUGGCACACACAUGUAUUCAUGCAAGUAAAUUUGAUUUUAUAUGGUAGAAUUGUAAAUGCAACAGUAAAGGCUUUAAAGCAUACAGUUAGCCAGUCGCCAGUGGCUCUGUCUAUAACAUUCAAUACUCAGGAACUGAGAUCUAGAGGAUGGCAGUUCCAAAGCUAACCAGUGUUGAAGAGCCCAUAAAAACUUUAAUAUAACCAGCAAAAAGACAAGUUUGAGGUGUGGCUCAAGUGGUAGAGUAUAAGUCUUAGCAGGCAAGUUGAGCAAGUUCCAGGAUCUGAAUUCAAACUCUAGUACACACACACACACACACACACACACACACACACACACACACACACGAUCCAGGAAAAGUGAAGUGCAUGAUAAAAAUAUAAUUCCAUCUCUUUUCUAGACAGUAAAAAUUCUGCAUGCUAACAUCUAUUCUAUACUUGCUAGAUAUCUGAGACUGUGCUUGACAUUGAUUUCAGAAAAAAUAAUCCUUACAGGCACAUUACAAAUGUGUUUUCAUCGUUUAAAAAAAAGAAAAACAAAAAACAACUCUAUUUUAAAAUAACUCUUCAGUUGUCAUUGAAUUUUCAAAGAAUGGUUUAAUAGCGAAUAGCUACAAUAGCAAAUAGGUACUAACUCAUGAUUACAGGCUAUCCAGAGAACACCCACCUCCUAACUGCUUCUCCCAGUCAUUGGCUAUACAGAUAAGACAUGGAACUAGUCUUCUAUACAGAUAAGAAGGUGGAGCCCUAUAUGGAUUCGAACCCAGGUCUGACUCCAGGCUAGCACUACCCUACCCCAUUUAGUUUCAUUAGAUUAGAUCAUAUUAACCUUGAUACAUUUCUUUGACCUCUAGAAAGCUCUUCAAGAGUAUGGGCAGUCCUUUCUCCUUGCUGUAGGCUUUCAGCACCUGACAAUCCUCUCUG